rnacentral:rRNA from 1 species
GAUCAUGGCUCAGGAUGAACGCUAGCUACAGGCUUAACACACGCAAGUCGGAGGGGCAGCAUGGUCUUAGCUUGCUAAGACUGAUGGCGACCGGCGCACGGGUGAGUAACACGUAUCCAACCUGCCGUCUACUCUUGGACAGCCUUCUGAAAGGAAGAUUAAUACAAGAUGGCAUCAUGAGUCCGCAUGUUCACAUGAUUAAAGGUAUUCCGGUAGACGAUGGGG